rnacentral:rRNA from 1 species
GUCCACGCAGUAAACGAUGAGUACUAGGUGUAGGAGGUAUCGACUCCUUCUGUGCCGCAGUUAACACAAUAAGUACUCCGCCUGGGAAGUACGAUCGCAAGAUUAAAACUCAAAGGAAUUGACGGGGGCCCCGCACAAGCAGCGGAGCAUGUGGUUUAAUUCGAAGCAACGCGAAGAACCUUACCUGGACUUGACAUCCCCUGAAUAAUGCAGAGAUGCAUGAAGCCCUUCGGGGCAGGGAGACAGGUGGUGCAUGGUUGUCGU